rnacentral:rRNA from 1 species
AGAGUUUGAUCAUGGCUCAGAACGAACGCUGGCGGCGUGCCUAACACAUGCAAGUCGGGGGAGAAAGUGGACUUCGGUCUGCGAGUAAACCGGCGCACGGGUGAGUAUAACGUAGGUAACGUACCUUAGAGCCCGGGAUAACCAGUCGAAAGAUUGGCUAAUACCGGAUACGACCGCAGGGGCUUCGGCUUCAGCGGUGAAAGAUGGCCUCUACUUGUAAGCUAUCACUCUUUGAGCGGCCUGCGCACCAUUAGCUUGUUGAUGAGGUAACGGCUCACCAAGGCUGAGAUGGUUAGCUGGUCUGAGAGGAUGGCCAGCCACACUGGGACUGAGACACGGCCCAGACUCCUACGGGAGGCAACAGUAGGGAAUCUUGCGCAAUGGGCGAAAGCCUGACGCAGCGACGCCGCGUGGGUGAUGAAGGCCUUCGGGUCGUAAAGCCCUGUCGGGAGGGAAGAAUGUCCCUCGACCUAAUACGUCGGGGGAGUGACGGUACCUCCUAAGGAAGCACCGGCUAACUCCGUGCCAGCAGCCGCGGUA